rnacentral:rRNA from 1 species
UACGUAGGGCGCGAGCGUUAUCCGGAAUUAUUGGGCGUAAAGAGCUCGUAGGCGGUUUGCCGCGUCUGCUGUGAAAGCCCGGGGCUUAACUCCGGGUGUGCAGUGGGUACGGGCAGACUAGAGUGCAGUAGGGGAGACUGGAAUUCCUGGUGUAGCGGUGAAAUGCGCAGAUAUCAGGAGGAACACCGAUGGCGAAGGCAGGUCUCUGGGCUGUUACUGACGCUGAGGAG